UUUUUUGAUUUUUAUGUUUUCUUAUGUUUCUAGUCUUAGAAUUGUGUUAUCUAAAACUAUACGACUCUAUAAAAUUUUUUUGAGGCAAAUCAAAGCUUAUUUGAGUGUUCUAUCCUUGUUAGAAGCUUGGGUUGAAGAAAAUUGAUGUGAAUUGAAAAUAUGAAGAGUUUGGUGUAGGAUUUGGACAAAAUAACAUUUGGAAUGAGUUUAGAACGUUGAAAAGUGCGUACAUUCAAAAUUUCUACUCAUUCCGAGCUUCGGAGAAAAAGUUAGAAAUAUUGAUGUUCUUGGUGUGUUCUUGAAGAAGUUGCUAUCUUAAAGUUGAAUUUUUCAGCAAAUUUGAUUGUUUGAUCCAAAAGUAAAGAAUAAAAGUAGUGAAAAAGUAUUUGUUCUUGGGCAUCUAAGGAGAUUUCAAAGGAUAUUCUAACAAAAGAGGAUACAAAGGAUCAUUAGAAGGGCAUUUCGGCUAUUUCAAGAGAGAGGGGCGGCUGAUCUGCCUUUGAAAUGCCCUUGAGCUGCACCCAAGGUACUGCAACACCUGAAACCAGUGGCACCUACGUUCAGUCUAUCUUGAACCUGCUCCCCAUCUUCUAAAGCAGGUCACCAAACGCAGAUCAGUCCGUCCCAAUGUUUUUUUUUUUAAAUUCAAAGUUGGGCUCUUCAGCCCAUUUAUUAAAAUCCAAAUAAAAUGUAUAGAACAGGGUCUAAAAAUGGCCCAGUUUACAAAACAACCAAGUACAAUAUAUGUUCACAAGAUUAGCCAAAUUAGGAAAGUUCCAGCAAUCUCCAAAUAUUCAAUCUGGUCUACAUGAACUGCUGCUCCGUUCCAUAAAUAUUUGAGUUGAUCUUCUCCAUCCUUUCUAAAACUCCAUGGAAAGGAUACUCUCCAAGCUGGAGAAAACAAGCUACUGGAAUCUUCUCUCAGCUAUUGACGAGCUACCGUUACUUCCAGAUUUUAAGAGCCUUGGAGAGAGAUCAGCAUCACUUGUAUAUUCUCCAUCAGCUCAUCUGUGACUGUUGAUUCCUUGAUACCCUUAGCUAUUUGUUGGGGUUUUACAUUUCCAUUUUCUGUACAAUCCUUUAAGUUGUGCGUUAUAAUAUCAUGUAAUACCAAGAUUGCAUUAUCAUCAUUAGACUCAUCUAUUUGCA